rnacentral:rRNA from 1 species
GACGAACGCUAGCGGCGUGCCUAAUACAUGCAAGUCGAACGAGAGCGACCGGUGCUUGCACUGGUCAAUCUAGUGGCGAACGGGUGAGUAACACGUGGGUAACCUGCCCAUCAGAGGGGGAUAACAUCCGGAAACGGAUGCUAAAACCGCAUAGGUCUUCGAGCCGCAUGGCUUGAAGAGGAAAAGAGGCGCAAGCUUCUGCUGAUGGAUGGACCCGCGGUGCAUUAGCUAGUUGGUGAGGUAACGGCUCACCAAGGCCGUGAUGCAUAGCCGACCUGAGAGGGUGAUCGGCCACAUUGGGACUGAGACACGGCCCAAACUCCUACGGGAGGCAGCAGUAGGGAAUCUUCCGCAAUGGACGCAAGUCUGACGGAGCAACGCCGCGUGAGUGAAGAAGGUUUUCGGAUCGUAAAACUCUGUUGUUAGAGAAGAACAAGUGCUAGAGUAACUGUUAGCGCCUUGACGGUAUCUAACCAGAAAGCCACGGCUAACUACGUGCCAGCAGCCGCGGUAAUACGUAGGUGGCAAGCGUUGUCCGGAUUUAUUGGGCGUAAAGCGAGCGCAGGCGGUUCCUUAAGUCUGAUGUGAAAGCCCCCGGCUCAACCGGGGAGGGUCAUUGGAAACUGGGGAACUUGAGUGCAGAAGAGGAGAGUGGAAUUCCAUGUGUAGCGGUGAAAUGCGUAGAUAUAUGGAGGAACACCAGUGGCGAAGGCGACUCUCUGGUCUGUAACUGACGCUGAGGCUCGAAAGCGUGGGUAGCAAACAGG